CCCAACCUGUACUGUGUAUUACUGCUGUAUUUAAAAGAUGGAAGUUACGUUUCUGAUGUAACGGGCCAGCUGACCAAAGUUGGUAACCCCGCCAUUCUCCUACCGUCGAAAGGUUCCUUUUGUAAAGACCCACUGUACGUGUCAUUCAAUCAAGUAAUUGGAGCCAUUUCACUGCCACGCCCUUCCUGAAGGGCCCUAGCUUCACUUCUAAAACGCCCAUCUACUAUACAUUUACAGCAGUGCGUGGUUGACUUCCUCGUGAAACAGCGCCCUCUUCAGAUGCCUCAGGUAACAGGCCCUGAUUCGCCCACGUCCUCCAGCUGGAGGAAGAACCUCUGAAGCAGAUGCUCUUGUUCUUUCUCAUCUUCUCGGACCACAUGCGGCGGCGACACGACACUCAGCAUUUGCGAGAGCAGGCACUGCAUUCACGCCGAGAAGCGGGGACUGUGGCGCAUUAGUAUGCGGCCUGCGUCAGCCGGGCCGAGGCCCUUUUGCGAUGGCGCUGCAUGCGGCAGCUUAUUUACCGGCUGCUUGCCUCCUUCCCCUGCUUAUCAGCACGCAUUUCUAAAUGUUGCGGGACACUGCGCCUAAAAUAGCUGCCUGCCAUCGAACUGUCUGCAGCAGGUUUCCUGUUUGCAGGAGCUUGGUUCGGGCUGCAGGGAUCUUAAAGCUUUCGCUGUCUCACUGUCUCACCCAUCCUCUUCCUCUCGUUUGGCGUGUAGGUCUUUUUACUGGGACAGCCACAGUCUUCCUCUCUCUGCGGGGAGGUGCUGGGAAACCAUAAAAAAAAUGUUUGUUUUCUCUCGGUCCAAUUUCGGAGCGGUAUAACAUUAUCUGUUUUUCCCACAUCUUUCAGACAGGAUAAUGGACCCCUGCCUCUGUUUUCAAAGCUCCUUUUUUGGCAUGGUCCUCGCAGCGCGGAUCUGAGCCCCUGAGAGGCAGAGCAACGUCACGGGACCGGCUCUGGGUGGUUGGUGACAUUUCCAUGGCAACUGAUCACCAUCCUCUGUGCCCACAGAUGCCUGUGCUAAUGAAACCCAGCUGGCUCUGAUUGGACUAAUUAGCUUGUUAGGGGCUUGUAAAGGCUGAGCCAAAUGGGGAGGUAGCCUUGUUCAACAUGUACACUGGUUUUGGGUUUCAAAAGAUCCAUUGCAGUCUUUUCAAUUUCCUGUUUUUCUUGAUCAGACCUCUUCCCAAUUUUAUGUAAUUUUUUCAGCAAUAAACUACUUUUUUGUUAAAUUCUGUUGCCCUGCCUUUUGGUAAAACCUCCACCCCAAUGUUCAAUACUGGUAAUGAUUUUUAAGGUAAAGUUUGAAAUUUUGGCUCCAUUUCCUUUUCCAUACAGAAUAAAUCAAUUCAAUGAGAAUGAAUCACUCAGACUCAUUCAUUCUCUUUGUUAGCU